UAACUUUUUUUCACUUAAUUAUUUGAUACAUUAUUGCUCUUUUCCUUAUGAUAUUACAAAUAACAUUAGUUUUUGAUCCUCUAUUUUUAUUUCAUUUAGAAAAUAGGGGGCUCCAUGCUUUAUGUGCCUUUUGAUUUUCUGUUAUGGAUCAUAUAAAUUCAUAUAAUUUGACUUUUGGGGAUAGAUCUAUGGAAGUUUAAAUUUUAUAGGUUUAUGUUUGGUUACAACAAUCAAUUGAUCUUGUCACCAGGAAGGAUAAUUAAAUGUUUAUAUCAUUUGAUGUACUAACCAGAUAAUCGUAUAACUAUUUUAAUUGCCAUUUCCUAUACAUUGUAAUCAUGAUAAUCAGAUAAUGAACUAGAAAUUAGCACUCCUUUUUAGGUGCAAAUUAAUACUGUAUCAUGUCAUAAAUUUUCACAAAAAUUCUAUAAUCAUGCUCUUCUAUUGCCUUUAUUUCUGCAAACACUUAAAAAUCUUACGAAAAGGUUCUUGAAAUGAUCAGGCAUAAAAAUACAUACCUGCCAUAUUAUUAUAAGUCUUUAGUUUUUUCUAAGGCUACACAAGGAGGCUUUAAAUUUCAAAAUACAGGCAAUAACUAACAUGGAGGUAACUGAGGAAUAGUUGAUUAGCUUUAUUUUCUAGUGCUUACAUCUCCCAUCUGCCAUGAAGCGCAGGAGGUACACUGAUUUCAGUUUCUAUUGCAUUUUUUUCUUUCAUUUGUUUAUCUGAUUGUUUAUUUGUCUGUCUAUCUUCAUCUAGUGUGCAAUAUUAUACUAUAAUGCUAUACAGUGACAUCCAUACAGUGAUGCUUUUUAAAAUGAUGUUCUUAUAGAUUGACUUUGUGUUAUUAUUGUUUUAGACAUAUUGAAUGUAAUGUUUUAUUUUUUUCGAAACAGGAUAGUAUUUUAAAAUCCAUGUUUACCAGGAUAAAAUUCAAAUACAUGUAUCAGAAAGAUUUUUCUGCCACACAAUUUUAUGUUUUGGUUUUAAUUUUAAAAACUAAAAACAUCAGUCACAUUGAAUAUACUGGAAGAUUAAAAAAAC
rnacentral:lncRNA from 1 species